rfam:Brassica napus, WGS project CCCW01000000 data, contig: 5888
GGAAUAUAAGAACUCGUCUCUUGAUUUUUAACUAAAAAAACUAAAAAACGGUUCUUAAAUACGAGUUUUAAAAGCCGGUUCUUAAUUUUUUUAGUUAAAAGUUAAGAGAUAGAUUCUUAUAUUCC